CAAUAGCGUAUAUUAAAGUUGUUGCGGUUAAAAGCUCGUAGUUGGAUUUCUGUCGGAGACGCGCGGUCCGCACUAUGUGCGUGUAUCUGUGUCGGCUCUGGCAUCCUCCUGGGGAAGCGGUGCUGCGCUUGAUUGCGUGGUCCGGUAUUCAGGACUUUUACUUUGAAGGAAAUUAGAGUGUUUACGGCAGGCAAGCGCCUUGAAUAUAUUAGCAUGGAAUAAUAACAUAGGACUUUGGUUCUAUUUUGUUGGUUUCUAGAACUAAGGUAAUGAUUAAUAGGGAUAAUUGGGGCGGAUUCGUAUUAACACGUCAGAGGUGAAAUUCUUGGAUUGUGUUACGACGAACUACUGCGAAAAGCAUUUGCCAAAGGAUGUUUUUCAUUGAUCAAAGAAACGAAAAGUGUGGGGAUCGAA
rnacentral:rRNA from 1 species